UAAAAGAUGAAGGAACCUCUGCACAC
rnacentral:piRNA from 1 species